rnacentral:rRNA from 1 species
UACGUAGGGGGCAAGCGUUGUCCGGAUUUAUUGGGCGUAAAGAGCGUGUAGGCGGCCAGGUAGGUCUGCUGUGAAAACUCGAGGCUCAACCUCGAGACGUCGGCGGAAACCAUCUGGCUAGAGUCCGGAAGAGGAGAGUGGAAUUCCUGGUGUAGCGGUGGAAUGCGCAGAUAUCAGGAGGAACACCAACGGCGAAGGCAGCUCGCUGGGACGGUACUGACGCUGAGACGCGAAAGCGUGGGGAGCGAACAGG